rnacentral:rRNA from 1 species
GAUGAACGCUGGCGGCGUGCCUAAUACAUGCAAGUCGAACGAAAAGACGAGGAGCUUGCUCCUCUGACGUUAGCGGCGGACGGGUGAGAAACACGUGGAAACCCUACCUAUAAGUCUGGGAUAAUUUCGGGAAACGGGCGCUAAUCCCGGAUGAUCUAUUGCACCACAUGGUUGAAUAGUGAAAGACGGCUUUGCUGGAACUACUAGAUGGAUCCGCGCCGCAUUAGCUUGUUGGUAAGGUAACGGGUUUCCAAGGCGACGAUGCGUAUCCGACCUGAUAGGGUGGGCGGCCGCACUGGGACUGAGACACGGCCCAUAGUCCUACGGGUGGCACCCGUAGGGAAUCUUCCGCAAUGGGCGGAAGCCUGACGGAGCAGCGCCGCGGGAUUAAUGAAGGUCUUCGGGUCGGAAAACUCUGUUAUUAGGUUAUAACAAAUUUGUAAGUAACUAGGCGCGUCUUGACGGUACCUGAUCAGAAAGCCACGGCUAACUUCGUU